rnacentral:lncRNA from 1 species
UAGUGUACAAAUCAAUAUAUCACUGAAAACUAAUCUAAACCUGGAAGGAAGGAAAAAUAGAAAAACGCCAAUGAAAAUUCUGGAGACAUAUUAUUCUUAUUGAUCAGUAGCCUGAACCACAUAAAAACUCAAAAAUGAAACAUUGCCUAUUUAAGAUUGAUGAAAGAGAGAAAAUGAAUAAUGUUGUCGUGCCUUUAAACUGGGAAUACGUCAUUUUUUUAUUUUUCAUUCUUAAAUGCGUAGAGAGAAACAAAAUGCAAUUCAUAAUAAAUAUAUCUAGGGAAGCAAGACCUCUCUCAACGUUUCUGGAAUUCAAUAACAAAUUUAAGAAUAUGUUGGGAAGCAAUGAAGGGAUUAAGGAAGCGAAAUGAAUCUGAAGGAAAACCAAAGGAGGAUCUUAACCAAAAUUCUCGAGAGGUGAAAUUUUCAACAACUAAAACCAAAGGAUCAUAUAGUAGCAAGGCAAGAUUUUACAGAAACCUUUAAGAACAAUAAUCUUAUUUCAAGACCUAAGCAAAAUUCUCAACUACUUUCUAAAGAACAUGAUUAAAUUAUAUC